rnacentral:rRNA from 1 species
UCGACUGCACGAAGAUGGAAUCGCUAGUAAUCGCGGAUCAGCACGCCGCGGUGAAUACGUUCCCGGGCCUUGUACACACCGCCCGUCACACCAUGGAAGUCUGCAAUGCCCGAAGCCGGUGGCCUAACCACUUAUGUGGAAGGAGCCGUCUAAGGCAGGGCAGAUGACUGGGGUGAAGUCGUAACAAGGUACC